GAUGAUUGUACCUUUAAUACGCAUGUGAGCGAAGAAAAAAAAAUUGAUGUUUAUCAUUAUAUUUGGAUUUAUAAAAAUAAUCAUGUAAUAUAUGGAUAUGAGUAGAAUAUUUAUAUAAUAUUAUAUAUUUUUUUAUUUUGAUGAGUAAAUUUAAAUUACCCAAACCUAUCCUAAGUUACUGACAAUAACUAAAAACUCUCUGUGGUUACUGAAUUGACACUGACUUCCCUUCUGUCAGCCUGUUUUUAAGUGUCGGUUUUCAGUUUCCUCCCUCCGUUGUGGUCCCUUAGUGAGGCUCCUGGAGGAUGGCAGUUGCUGAGUCAGCUGUACAUUUCAUAUUUGUUUCCCCUUUUAUUCGGUGGCAAACAUUAGUACCCUUUAUAAAUCUAGCAUUUAAGACUAAACUCCCCUAAAGGUUAAUCAUGGCUAUAAAUAAAAAAACUCCCCUUAUACAUACUUUCCAAGUUCCCCAUGGAUCUGUCUUUCUUCUCCAUCUCCUGUAAACCCACAGAAAAUAGUACUUCUAUCUCCAAAAUUUGUACUUGAGAAAAAACACCACUGUUUAAUGGUCCCAAAAAAUAAGCAACUAAUAAUUUUCUUGAUUUGAGCCGCAAUUAAUUUUCUUAGUUUCUAUUCACAAUUUUAGGCACAACUUGGGCUAGCUAGUUUAGCUAUGUUACAUUAUAAAUUUUAUCUUUACUAGAAAAUUUGUUUUUCCGCUUUGAUCAUCCUUGUAUCCUAUUUGUUUUUUUUUUAAAAAAAUAAUUUUUUUAUUUGACAGAAGAACUAUGAAAAUUGAAAACUUGGGAUGAAAUUGAAAAAAAAAAACACUAAUUAGUUGUAAGUAAGCUUGUAAACAAUUAUGAAUCUCUUCUCAAUAAAAACCUAAAGUACUACAAGACAUUUCAGUUACUCCCCAACCAUCCACAUACCUCCAUGGCAUCUCUUCUCACUCUCUCCUUCUCCAACUAUGUGCAUUAGACCAUUUCUCACAAGAAAUUCACAUUGAUGACCUAAUUGCAAUAACCAAAACUAUCUCACCUCCAAACACCUAAAUUUUAAUCCAUUUGGAUUUGAGCAACCACCAUGAACAUGCUUGGUUGAAAACAAGCAAUUGAAGGUCCGUGAUUUUAAAAAACCACCUAAUUGACCCCCCAAUCGAAGCAAUAUAAGGGCUAGUGGGACAAAUUCCCCUUGCUUGGUGAAAUGCACAUAAGCAUCAGUGAGUGGUGGCAACUUUGCUUUGUCAAAGAGGGAAGCGAUUGGUGUGGCGGUUCAACGAUUGAGAUGGAGAGAGUAAGGUGUUUUGUAUUGGGUUUUGGCGAGGCAAUAGUGAUUGUCGGUGGAGAAAGAAUGAAGAUUAGGAUGGCGAUGGUGGUGGUUUUUUAUUUCGAGAUGUGGGUUUGUGAAAGGAAAUGAUAGUGUAGGUAUUUGUGUCAUGAGCAAGGCCCGCUUAGAGCGACUUACUCCAACAAACACUCAAUCUAUAUCUUUUAGACCUUUUAGGGGGUUAAAUCUUCAAAAUUGGCUCCAACAGCCAUGCCAAAAAGAUGCCCUAUUUAUGAGGGCUUGAAUAGGACUCGUUUCCCCCCCCACAAACAGGGGCGGCGAGAGACUGUAGAACCCUUAAACAUAAAAAAUCACUAUAUUAUCUUCCAAAGAGGAACAAACCAUAUAAGAAGAGCGCCGUGCGACGAUCUUGCUGAGGCGAGGAAGAAGAUUGUGAAGGAGUCCCUUGAUCUAAACUUCGGCAGCACGCAUUCAUGGUCUACUUUUGGGGCGGUGAAAAUGGUUUGUUGGUGAAUGGCAGAGGCUGUGAGAUUGGAGAGUAGAGAGAGAGGAUAGAACAGACCCCCUCCAAGUCAUAGGAAGGGGCAAGAUACAAAAUGUGGUGGGUCUUGUUGGAGUUGGUGGUGAAAAAUUGGGGUUCUAGCUUUGGUCACUCAGAGAGGUCUGCCAUGUGGGGAUUUUGGAUAGACAAAGGAGAGAGAAGAGAGAAUAUUUAACAUGGGAUGAGGCGAGAGAAGAGAGUGAUAAUUCAAUAUUUUAAUGGGUAGAGUAAAAAUAGAAGGCAUUUCGGUAGGAAAGGUUGAGAGGGGCCUCCCUUAAGAAAUAGGGUUUUAUAUUUUUGUCUUUCAAAUUGUUUAAAAGUUCUAAAUUGUCUCUCACUAUUUGCAUCUACUUGUUCCUAACUAUCUAAUUUACCUUCAAGGUAUUCUUAAUUAAUUACAAGUGAUAUCUUUUAAAGUUUUUUUUUUACUUAUAAAAAGGAUCUUUAGAUUUUUUUCUACAUCAUGAUAUAUUUAAACAACUUACCUGAUCAAAUAAUAUCUUGAUAAUAAAUUUAACUACCUUGAUACAAAUAAAUAUCUCUUACACAAGAAUAUUUUAUAUUCAAUAUGGUACUACCAUACAUUUUGUAUUACAUUUUUAUUAAAAUCUCAACCAACAUUCCUAACUUUGAUUUACUUGACUUUCAUCCCCUUUUUACGAUUUCCCA
rnacentral:lncRNA from 1 species